rnacentral:rRNA from 1 species
CAACAGCGUAUAUUAAAGUUGUUGCAGUUAAAAAGCUCGUAGUUGGAUUUCUGGUGGGAGCGAUCGGUCUGGCGCUUAGCGCGAGUACUUGCAUCGUCUCCGGCCAUCCUUGGGGAGAGUCUGUCUGGCAUUAAGUUGUCGGGCAGAGGAUCCUCAUCGUUUACUGUGAAAAAAUUAGAGUGUUCAAAGCAGGCUUAUGCCGUUGAAUAUAUUAGCAUGGAAUAAUAAGAUAGGACUUUGGUACUAUUUUGUUGGUUUGCGCACCAAAGUAAUGAUUAAUAGGGACAGUUGGGGGUAUUCGUAUUCCGUUGUCAGAGGUGAAAUUCUUGGAUUUACGGAAGACGAACUACUGCGAAAGCAUUUACCAAGGAUGUUUUCAUUAA